rnacentral:rRNA from 1 species
GUGAGGAAUCUUGCGCAAUGGGCGAAAGCCUGACGCAGCGACGCCGCGUGGAGGAUGAAGGUCUUCGGAUUGUAAACUCCUGUGAGGUGGGACGAAUGCCGCGAGGGUGAACAUCCCUCGCGGUUGACGGUACCAUCAGAGGAAGCCCCGGCUAACUCCGUGCCAGCAGCCGCGGUAAUACGGAGGGGGCAAGCGUUGUUCGGAAUCAUUGGGCGUAAAGGGCGCGUAGGCGGCUGACCAAGUCGGACGUGAAAUCCCUCGGCUCAACUGGGGAACUGCGUCCGAUACUGUUCAGCUUGAGUCCCGGAGAGGGUAGUGGAAUUCCCAGUGUAGCGGUGAAAUGCGUAGAUACUGGGAGGAACACCGGUGGCGAAGGCGGCUACCUGGACGGGUACUGACGCUGAGGCGCGAAAGCUAGGGGAGCAAACAGGAUUAGAUACCCCUGUAGUCC